GUACCAGUCACUGUUCCCUCUAAGCUGCGCGCGUGCACAAUUGCGCACUGCUGACACGGUCUCCGCGCACAGAAAAUCUGCGCUGCGCACAAAAAAAAAAUCCAACCUAAAUUUUUCAAUGUGAGUCAGUGAGUGACCGGUGACUGGCUGCUGCAGCCAAUGACGCGAUUCACAUACGUAUUUACCAUAGACUGUAUAUAAUGGUAUUUACGCAGCUAAUCAACGUCAGGCGUCCUUAUGUGCAGCCACCGCUGUUCUCAUAGAUAUGAAUGAGUAGAUAGGACACGCCCCUUUGAGCUGCGUGCUACAGCGAGGCUAAGCUAGUGGGGGCAAAGUUUCAGUGCAUUCCGUUGAUGCAGACGGCGUGAAAACGGAAACAACAAGUAUGCCGGCUCACUGUGCUGCAUACAGUUACACACUACGUCGUACGAUUGAGACAAGGAAACUUGGAAUGACUUUUCAUAGGUUUCCCAGAGACUAUGGGUUGAGGAGGAAUUGGAAGUUUGUCGGCUUAGACCUGGUGUCAUUCCAUCAGUGUUAAACUUCCCGGCUCAUCUUGGAAGAGUACGUGCCAGAAAGACCACGACCAAGCAGCCUUGAGAUCUUAGACAGCGUCUCCCUCAGGUCCCUCUCUAUCUCCCCACACAUCCACCAACCACUGGAACACAUCUCCAAAGUUCUGCUGGACCAGCUCAGCUUCCCCUCAGAAGAAGUGCUGCCACCUGCCAGAUGAAGGAGCCUUUUGAGAGGCAGCUGGCAUCGUGAUUGGACUGUACUUUGGUCUGUUCCAAUCCAGCUUCAGCUCCAGAGACGGCAGGCGGGACGAGUCAAUGGAGGCCGGAUGGACGAAGGCAUGCAGCUGAGUACAAUCCAGAAAACAACAGAGGAGGAGUGCAGGGCCAGAACAACCAGAGUAGCAUCGUAUGUCUCUUAGAAAACAUCAUAGUAUAGCCUUUGGUAUGAAAAAACGCCAUCAUAUACAUCGUAUAUUGUACAAAUAACAAGUCAAAGAAACGAGACUUACAUUGUAGAAUUAUAGUAAUUGUGGGCUGACUGAUUUACUGAUGAUCAGUAUUUUAUUUUUUACUGAUUUACGGUAAUAAAUACAUUUAAAAAUGGUGCUACUUUGGCUCUGAACCUUUAUCUACCUGUGGUCACUCUGUCUUCUGGAGUGAUUUGAUUGGUUAUACGUCACAAAUAAAACUCCUUUAACUUAACAUCUGUAAACAAAACAAAAACGUAUCAACAAAGUUUUCUGUUAGAGUUUGUGUUCUUCUAAGUUUCACGCCAAGAUUUUAAAUACUUUCAUUUACUGCAAAUGAAUAUCUACUCCAAAUGUGUCACUAAUAAUCAUUAUCAGCCUUAAAAACCCACAAAACACCCCUCUAUACUCGACCAAACUUAGUACAGUCCGAUUCCCCCUUCUAUAAAUCUGCUUGGAAUCUAACACUUCCUGUUUGUCAAAGUGGCCUUCUACCUGGACAGGUUUUGUUGGAGCUCAUGCAACAAACAUUUUGGGUAACUGCUCUUUAAUAUGGAUGGAUGACACUUAAUUAGAGUCUGUUUUAAUGAGACUGAGUUCAGAUGUGUAGCUCUGUCAUUAAAUAGGAAAUUAUUUCUCUGAAUUCACAGAGAAAAGUCUGAAAUGUUUGCUAGGUUAGCGUCCCGCAUGUUCUUUGGCUCAGCUAAAGCUAACUCUCUCCAACUUCUGGAUCUCUUGAGUUGCUUAUUGUUAAAAUAUCUUGCUAGAGGUGCUGAAGCUCAGAAAGUUUGAGAUGUUUGUUCAAAAUAAGUUCAUUCUCAAAUCUUAUCUGAACUCUUUUGUUUGAACUUUCCCUAAACUUAGGAGUUAAUGACAGAGCAGCACAUCCAGACUCAGUCUCAUUUAUGUAGAGAUUCAACUUCAGUGUCAUUCAUUGAUGUUAAAGUGCAGUUUUUCAAAUGUUUGUUGCACAUUCUCCCAACCAAACCAGUCCAGGUGGAAGACGAUGUGAAGAGAAAGCUCCAGAGGAUGAAUAUCACACAUUUACGUUGGAAAUAAAUGUCCUUUAAUUAGACAUUGUCAUGCAGAAGUUGAAUUUCCCUUUAAUGAUGUUCAAAUCUUUGUUGAGUGUUUUGUUGAUGUUGGUUUCUAAAUGUUUUCUGACACUCGGCCCCAAAGAUUAAAACCUUCUAUGGCUCACAAGCUGCAACAAUUCACACAUUAUCAACUAUCUUUCUGACUAAACUAAGAUAAAAAGUGAAAAACUGCCUGAUUCCUGCAUCCUGAAUGUAAAUCUUUUUGGUUUUUAUGACAGUAAACUGAAUAUAUUUGGGUUUGACAUUUUAUAUACCAAAACAAGAAAUGAAUUACUGGAGAAAACAAUCAACAGAUUAAUGGACAAAGAAAAUGUGUUUUCCAACAUAUAUGGCUGAAUUACUCCAACAUUACAAGAUACAUACAAUUUAAAUUCUAUUUUAUUUAUAUAAUGCCAGUUACAGGUCAAAUUGUCUCAAGACGCUUUGUUUUUAAAUUUUUUUGUCAUACUUAAAAUAUGACAAAGUAAGAAAUUUAAAGCUCUUGACUAACCCAAUUUAUUAUUUGUUUUUUAAGAGAUUAAUUGACAAUUAAAAUAACUUUCUCCACUAAAACUAAUAAACAUGAGGUCAAAUAGAAGGAACAGUUUUAAAUACUGCAGGUCCACGACGACAAGAAUAAAGUUUGUCAACAAAAACUAAAUCUGCUGGUGGAUUCCAUUAAAGUCCUAAUAAAUGAUAAUAAAGUGUGAUACUAAAGGUUUGCGGUGCUAAAAAUGUCAAAGAUAUCAAGUUGAACAUCUGGAUGGAGGUUGAUAAAAGUUGACCUUCUUUCAUUUCUCUGGAGCGACUCCAUGGAUUUUCUGGAUGGUGGUUAAAGACCUGCUCUUCUAGUCGUCUUCCUUCUAGUCGCUGUAAAAAGUCAGUCCAUCCUGGCCGACUUCAACACCUCUUUAUGACAACUUGUUCUGCCUCCGACCUGGUGGAAACUCCAGAAACUCGGGGAAACCUGUCGAGACUCGAGGAACUCGUGGAGACUCGAAAAACUCGUCGGGCGGGGGAAGGUGUGGUGGGCGGUGGGGGGAGGUGGGGGAGUAGAGGGGGGAGGCCGCCACCCACCUCCCCGCCUACUCUCCGCCCUGACUCCACCCAGACUCCGCCUUGGCUCCGCCCAUGUGGUCACUUCAGGAACUACGAUGCCAAAGGGACGACGAAUUUAUUUCUUUUCAUCUGAUCUGUAGCUCAGUGAGUUAAGGAUUUGCCUAUGGAGCUGCAGGUCGCUGGUUCAAGACCAGACACUUCUUAAAUUUUCUCAAAAUCCUGAGAAAGACAAAGAAAGAAAACUGCCACUGGCGGGUCUCGAACCUGCGACCCUCCGCUUGGUAGUCCUUCUUCUUAUCCCCCUGAGCUACUCGCUCAGAUACUAAUUCUUCUGGUUUUUGCGCAUUUAUCAUCUAUUUUUUGUCGUUUUCGUUUUUUUUUUUUAACUCGGGUCUCGAGUCGACCGUUUUUCUCAGGAGGUGGGACUUCAGCCUUUGUGCUGGAGGGUUGAACCCUCAGUUCCAAGACUUUCCAAAGCCUCCAGACCUCCCGAGUCCUCAGGACCUGAGCUUUCACACAGUCUGAGGGCUGAAAUUUUCUAAGUCCCACAGUAAUUCUCUGUUAGUUUGAACCUUCAGACAGUCCAAGGACUGAAAUCCUCUAAGUUCCUGAGUAGUUCUCUGUUAGUUUGAACCUUCAGACAGUCUGAGGACUGAAAUUUUAAAAGUUUCUCAGUACUUCUCUGUUAGUUUGAACUUUCUGGUUAACAGAAGCCUUAAAACUUGUGACCAUGAGUCUUGAUUUCACAUUUAGACCAUCCAUCUGAGUUCUUCUCAGACCUUCACCUGUGGGUUUUUUAGAAAUCCUUAAACUUUGAUUCUCUUCACUGAACAGUAAAGUUUGUGGAGAUCAGAAGGUAACAUUAGUUUGAUCAAUGCCUUCAACUACUAGUAGACUUUAUCUGGAAAGCAGUUUUCUUAAAUGAGUUCUUAGUAAAUCUGUCCACAAUCAAACCAAGAACAUAGAAAGAGGAAAUGUUUGAAGAAACAACUUGAUGUUUUCAUUUCAGACUAGAAAACACUUUAAGGCCUUGAUCUGUUUUUGCUCUUUUUCAUCCUUUUAUUGUCUCUUCUGUUUAAUUUGAUCUUCUAAAGUUUAACUGGUGUCUUUUCAAAUGUUUUGUCUUUAGUUUGAUUCUUCUUAAAUGUUUAGUUUUGCUCUUUUC